AUGUUUAGCUAAAUCAGACUCUUUGGUUGUUCUUGUGUGACUUUGCAAAGUCCAAAGCCCUCCUCAGAACCUCACUCCCUUAGUAUUAAUCCACCAGAUCCAUGGGACUCUUGCCCUCCAAGCUCCCAACACUCUCCUGUUCUUGCUCUUAGGGUUUUUGUCCCUCCUUUAACACCUCUCACUAUAUCUUCACCCCCAACACCUAACUUAAUUUCCACAUCUCUCAAUCUUCUUCUUCAUCACCAAUAACACCGAGGAGCAGAGCCAGGAAUUUACUUUUUUGAUCGUUAUUUGAUGGGAUUGAACAAGGAAGACAAAGAAACAAUAAGUUACUUGGAGCAACGAAGAAUUGUGGAGACAAGAACAGCUUGCUUUUGGUCAGUUCUGGUGAGUGUGGUUGGAGGACUCAUGUUAGGGUGGUGGGAGUAUCAGUAUCAUCCUGCAAAUAAGCAGCUGUGGAUGGUGCCCUUUGGUCUCGUCCUAUUUGCUACCCCAGCCAUCGUUUGGUUCUCCGUCGUGGCCUCCGAUAUCUGUAAUCCGAACAACCAUUAUGUUCUGAGGGUGAGUCAACCCGUUCACCUCAAUGACUCGGUGGUUCCGGCCAAAAAAGAUGAGCAAUGGAGUAACCAUGUGGAUCGUGUAUAGAUAUUAAAAAAAUAAUAAAAUUAUAUAUAUAUAUCUGUUAACAUGCGUGGAGUUUUUCUAUAAGAGACCUGUUGACUAUUAAUUAAUUUUUGUGGUU